rnacentral:tRNA from 1 species
UCCCUGGUAGCCUAGUGGUUAAGGAUCUGGCAUUUUUACUGCUUGUGGCUCUGGUUUGAUUCCUGGCCAGGGUG